rnacentral:rRNA from 1 species
CCGCGAUUCGCCCUUCGGGGUGCACCAGGCGCGAAAACUUUACAAUGCGGGAAACCGUGAUAAGGGAACUCCGAGUGCCCGUAAAAUCGGGCUGUCCAUCUGUUUAAAUAACAGGUGAAGAAAGGGCCGGGCAAGACCGGUGCCAGCCGCCGCGGUAAUACCGGCGGCUCGAGUGGUGGCCACUAUUACUGGGCUUAAAGCGUUCGUAGCUGGUCUGUUAAGUCUCUGGGGAAAUCUACUGGCUUAACCAAUAGGCGUUUCAGGGAUACUGGCAGACUAGGGACCGGGAGAGGUGAGGGGUACUCCAGGGGUAGGAGUGAAAUCCUGUAAUCCUUGGGGGACCACCUGUGGCGAAGGCGCCUCACCAGAACGGCUCCGACAGUGAGGGACGAAAGCUGGGGGAGCAAACCGGAUUAGAUACCCGGGUAGUCCCAGCCGUAAACGAUGCGCGUUAGGUGUAUCGGUGACCACGAGUCACCGAGGUGCCGAAGAGAAAUCGUGAAACGUGCCGCCUGGGAAGUACGGUCGCAAGGCUGAAACUUAAAGGAAUUGGCGGGGGAGCAC